CAAGAACUGUAGUACCAGUAGAAAAAAGGACAGGACCAAGUGUUAUGCUCCUCUGUAUCUCCAAUAGCAGCAUGGACCUCUGUCUUUGGUGUUGCAGACUACUUGCAUUUACACAUGCUGUUGAUCUCUCAACUGAAUCAGAUGAGGAGGAGACUACAUAACAAGGUGGCACAAUGAAUCUCAGAGGGACUAUGCAUGACCCCGUGGGAGAGAAGGAUAUCAUUGGAAUGUCAAGGUAUUGUCCUAAUAGGAUCACAAAUCCAAUUUCCUUUUGGGGGGAG